AUUGUGACAUGUUAAACAAAAACGACCCGGCAGGUGUACGCUGCCGGGCGUUUUGUAUGGGC
rnacentral:sRNA from 1 species